CAAAUGAUGAUAGUAUUUUUUUUAUUUUUGAAAGAUUUUGAUUUCACGAUCAAAUGAUUUUCCAAUCCUCUAAGAAGUUCUGAAAUGUUUU
rnacentral:snoRNA from 1 species